rnacentral:rRNA from 1 species
UACGUAGGGGGCAAGCGUUGUCCGGAUUUAUUGGGCGUAAAGAGCGUGUAGGCGGCCAAACAGGUCAGCUGUGAAAACUCGAGGCUCAACCUCGAGACGUCGGUUGAAACCGUUUGGCUAGAGUCCGGAAGAGGAGAGUGGAAUUCCCGGUGUAGCGGUGAAAUGCGCAGAUAUCGGGAAGAACACCCGUGGCGAAGGCGGCUCUCUGGGACGGUACUGACGCGUGAGACGCGAAAGCGUGGGAGCGAACAGG